rnacentral:misc_RNA from 1 species
GCCUUUCCCAACUCAUCUUUCAUCAGAAUCGUUAGAUGACUAGUGAUGAAAAUAAUUGAUGAAAGAUUAUGUUAAUAUCCAUCAUUAAUUCAUCAUCAACAAAAAGAAAAAGCCACAGCCACCAAAUGCAUAACACUUGUGCUGACGUCUAGUUUUCCAUUUCUACAAAUCAAUUUUCCACCAAAACUAAAACCUAACAAAUCAAUUUCUCUCGGUAUAUAUAAUUUUAUCAAAAAAUUCUUGGCUCAGUGACCCACCGUACUCUCAGAAGCACCCCAGC